AACCUAGAAACGUGCUACUGGUAAUUAAUGUGUAUAUUCUCAGAAGUAUAAAGAAUUAAGCCCCCAACUGAAGGACUAAUUGAAUUUACCUAACUGAAAACUCAAUAAUUAUCUUUCUUUAGAAGCCACUCGCUGCAACAAAAUAUGCUUUUAGCGGCACUUAUUUAACGGUAAUAACUUUAUGAUCGUUAAUUGUAUUCUAGAAUCAAUUAUUACGGACAAUAGUAAACUUUAGCUGGUAAACUAAUAUAUUUUGCGGGGGCUAUUACUAUAUUUGUACAUAUUCUUUUAGGGAAAAAAAAAAAAAAAAGGUUGCCUCGCAACUCCAAAAGAUUAGUUCAUUUACCUCCAAUUAUAUUUAUUCUCUGAAAUUCAAAUCGACGAUCUCUCUCUUCUCUAUCGCCCCUUCUCUUUCUCUCUCUCUCUCUGCUCUGUAUUUCAAAAUCGAUAAUCUCCAUAGCUUCUUAAAUUGAGAAACUAGGACUUUGAUUGCUGCUUUAUGUGACACAAUUUAUCAUUUACUGGAAAUGAUGGAUUUCCUACAAUCCGAAAUUUUCCUUCUCAGAAUCACGCAGAGAUUUCCUUUGCUAUUCACCAUCAGUAGCCGAGAUGUGCCAAAAUUUUGAGUUUAUGGAGACCAAGAGAAGCCACCAUUGAUAACUUAUCCAGAUUUGGCUCUACAUUAUCUAUGGCCAUGUGGGAGUUGGACUUAUGAUGUUUCAUCAGCUUGGUGGUAUCAAUGGAAUCUGUUUCUACACCGGUAGAAUAUUUGAGUCCUUAGGGUUGGAGUUUCCAUCUUUUUCUGCAAAAACCAAAUGAUCACUCCAUCGGCUAGGGCUGGAGCCCGUUAUGAUUACCUCAUCAAUCUCCUCUUGAUCGGCAGCAGUGGCCUACCUCAAGAUGUUGUCUAAGUUGUUAGUUUCCCUGCAAUUUUGUUAUGUUUCAUGCAAAUUUGUCUCUGAGGUUAAAAACGACUGAACUCUAAUAGGAUCGAGCUGUAUCUUCUGCAUGUAUAAAGCAAUCAAGGACCAACUUUCAAUUUGAAGUGUCACUCUAUUUUGAUCUUGGUUACUGUCUCAUUUGGCUAUUGUUAUGGAGUAUGAACAGCCAAAGGUGGAGAACUUUUUGCUAGAAUAAGCACUGCUGCAGAUUUAGUGAAAGAUGAGGUUAUACAUAUAUCUCUUGUAUUAUUCCUAUGCUUGAUAAGAAUAAGAUGUUGUACUUAUCAUCUUCAUUUUUGUGUCAACAAACAACAGGUUCGCUUCUUCUUUAACAGCUAAUAUUCUUGUUUGCUACUAUCAUGCCAUGGUAAACUUUAAAAAUAUUGACAUUUUGUACAAUGCACAUCUUUCUAAUGAGGUUCCGUUCUCAAGUUGUUGCUUUUAUUUUUCUGUAAGAAAUUUUUCACAGGGAUUUGAAACUGGAGAACACUUUUCUUGAUGUCCUUUACCAUGGCUAAAAAUUUGCGAUUUUGGUUAUUCCAAGUUUUGUCCUGUUUUCUAGCUGAGAAGCUUGCUUGUGUUACAUUUAUCAUGGCAUUAGUUUACUUUUAUAUAGUCAAUCAAGCAGUCUGGAUCAUUUUUGUCAUGCCUAAUUUAUUUGGCAUCUAUUUAACUUUAUUAGGCUAUAGAUGGAAUAGAGGCUAAGGAUGGUAGACCAUUGGAUUAGGAUUCUUCAAAUACAAUUGUAAGAUUUCUUAUACCAUUUUAUCUUUUAGUACUGAUUAAGCUUAUGAGUUUGAGCUUUGUUGUUGAUGCUGGAAUCAUUGAUCAAUUGCUAGGUUCAGGCGUGUGAAAAUUAUGGUUACCUGACUUAGUUGUGAACUUGAAAAUUGAUUGGAAAAAAAAUCUGGACAUCGAGAGCUUUUAAUUAGGGGAAUAGUUGACUGAAUUGGAAUUGGUACCUUGUUUCAAAACUCAGCCUAGUUACCAGUUUGGGAAUUGAUUCCUUGCUUGAUUCUUAUUGGUAGCUGUUGUAGUUCAAUUGUUAAAAUAAGGAAUUGGUGAGCUGCAACUGAUCUGUUGAAGUUUAAAGGAAGAAAGGUCCAGGAACAAUCCAGUUUGUUUGACUGGUUUCCUUUGUUAAAAAAACAAUUGUGGUUAGAACAAUUUAGAACCACAUAGUGUGUUUUAGAAAUUUGGGUUAAAUCUACUGGUGUUGGAGUUGAAUUCCUCACUGAUGUAUUUUUAAAUUGCUCAGUUCUUCCAUCAAUUUGCUCUUUGAAGUUUCAUUACACUGAUUUUGUACUUUUCACGUGGCACAUGACUUAUUUUUCUCCUUUAUUUCUGGAAGCAUGUUUUCCUACAGAUAUCGAAUAAAGUUGGCUCUAUUAAAGAUCCUCCAGAUAUUACAUAUGAUCGCGAUCCAAGCUGCCAUAGUUUCUCUAGGAAAAGAAAUGAUGGAUCAUUUCCUUGUUUUUCCAUUGUUGGAACACAUCUUAUUGUUUUGAUAAUUCAUACUUUUGUUUACCACCAGAAACUAAGAAAGUGUGUAUUGAGUUUGAUUGUUCUUGUUUUAAAUGAAUGACAUUUUGAGUUUGGUAAUUCUUCUAUUACAACCUUCGAAUUGAUUUCUUUUGUGAUUUUUGUUGUUGAUGCUAUAAAAGAGUGUUGGUUAAAUAUGUGAAAUAAGGUAAAUUCAUAUCAAUUUUAGCCCAUAAUGAUUGCCACUAAAAUAGGUCGGCAAUAACAAUUGCUAUUGAAUAAAUGCCGCCAAAAGUAAUUACUUUUAGUGGCAAUAAUAUGGGUCUUUACUAGCACUUGACAUAAAUGCCACUAAAGGUUUAGUGACUCUGGAUAUAAUGACAUUAACUCAAUUACUGGUAAAUGCUUUUGCGGCAAUAUAGCCGCUAAAAGCAUAUUUUGUUGUAGUGACUAACGAAUCACUUGUAAUGUUGUACAUGGCACUAUGUUGCUUGGACCCGGCACUUUUGCCGCCGUAUCCGUGUCGACACUCACACAGGUUUGGGUACGGAAUUCGUAUCAGAUUCGGUCAAUAGAGAUCGGAUACUUUGACCAAAUUAGAGAAAUUUUUUGAGAUUAUGAUUUCUUAAGAUAACGAAAAGUAGAGAUUUGAAGACAUGGAAUGGCAUACCUUCAAUAUUAUUUUGAAAAUUGAACUAGUUUCUUUAUCUCUGUUUCAGAUGUCUUCAACAUUGUUUGCUUCAUAUAGCAGGCCAAAUCGACGAAAACAGAGAGUUAAACCGCUGAUUUCAGGUAGAAGAGUGGUCAACUUGCCUUACGUAUAUGCAGCAGUUGGGAAGGGCUUGAAUAGGUCCAUAAUUCUUCCUAUUUCGAAUUUCAUGGUUGCUGGGAAGAAGAAGAAAGUUUAAAGAAAUUGGGGAAGAUGACUGGGUCAACCAAUUGGGGAAGACGACUGCGUUUCUUUUUCUUCUUCAAGAGUUUGUUUCUUUUUGGGUGUGAAUUCUGAAACACUGGGUAAAAUGAAGAGGUGGAUAGUCCACGUGCGCGUUAUUUACUUCA